rnacentral:rRNA from 1 species
UACGUAGGGUGCGAGCGUUAUUCGGAUUUACUGGGCGUAAAGCGUGUGUAGGUGGAUAUUCAAGUCCCCGAUUAAAGACCCAGGCUCAACCUGGGGAGUGUUGGGGAUACUGGAUAUCUAGAGGUUUGCAGGGGCAGAUGGAAUUCCCGGUGUAGCAGUGAAAUGCGUAGAUAUCGGGAAGAACACCGAUGGCGAAAGCAGUCUGCUGGGCUUAUCCUGACACUGAGACACGAAAGCGUGGGGAGCGAACGGG